rnacentral:rRNA from 1 species
GACGAACGCUGGCGGCGUGCUUAACACAUGCAAGUCGAACGGAAAGGCCCUGCUUUUGUGGGGUGCUCGAGUGGCGAACGGGUGAGUAACACGUGAGUAACCUGCCCUUGACUUUGGGAUGACUUCAGGAAACUGGGGCUAAUACCGGAUAGGAGCUCCUGCUGCAUGGUGGGGGUUGGAAAGUUUCGGCGGUUGGGGAUGGACUCGCGGCUUAUCAGCUUGUUGGUGGGGUAGUGGCUUACCAAGGCUUUGACGGGUAGCCGGCCUGAGAGGGUGACCGGCCACAUUGGGACUGAGAUACGGCCCAGACUCCUACGGGAGGCAGCAGUGGGGAAUAUUGCACAAUGGGCGGAAGCCUGAUGCAGCAACGCCGCGUGCGGGAUGACGGCCUUCGGGUUGUAAACCGCUUUCACCUGUGACGAAGCGUGAGUGACGGUAAUGGGUAAAGAAGCACCGGCUAACUACGUG